rnacentral:rRNA from 1 species
AUUGAACGCUGGCGGGAGGCCUAACACAUGCAAGUCGAGCGGAGCGGCGGACGGGUAAGUAAUGCCUAGGAAUCUGCCUGGUAGCGGGGGAUAACGCUCGUAACCCGGCGCUGAUGCCGAAUCCUCUCAGAAGAGCCUAGGGCGGAUUUGCUAGUUGGUGGGGUAAAGGCCUACCAAGGCGACGAUCCGGAACCGGUCUGAGCGGAUGAUCAGUCACACAGGAAAUGAGAUAAUGUCCAGACUCCAACGGGAGGUAGCAGUGGGGAAUAUUGGGCAAUGGGGGAAAGCCUGAUCCAGCCAUCCCGCGUGUAUGAAGAAGGUCUGCGGAUUGUAAAGCACUUUAAGGUGGGAGGGGUUACCAACAGAAUAAGCACCGGCUAACUUCGUGCCAGCAGCCGCGGUAAUUC